rnacentral:tRNA from 1 species
UCCCUCGUGUCUCAGUGGUAGAGAAUCUGCCUGCCAAGCAGGAGACAGGGUUUCAAUCUCUGGGUGGGAA